UACGUAGGCAGCAAGCGUUGUUCGGAGUUACUGGGCGUAAAGGGUGUGUAGGCGGUUCUUUAAGUUUGCUGUGAAAUCUCCCGGCUUAACCGGGAGGGUGCGGUGAAUACUGAGGGACUAGAGUACGGGAGAGGAAAGUGGAAUUCCUGGUGUAGCGGUGAAAUGCGUUGAUAUCGACCGGAACUCCGGUGGCGAAGGCGGCUCUCUGGGACGGUACUGACGCUGAGACGCGAAAGCGUGGGGAGCGAACAGG
rnacentral:rRNA from 1 species